rnacentral:rRNA from 1 species
GUUGAACGCUGGCGGCAUGCCUAACACAUGCAAGUCGAGCGGAUGAAGGGAGCUUGCUCCUGGAUUCAGCGGCGGACGGGUGAGUAAUGCCUAGGAAUCUGCCUGGUAGUGGGGGAUAACGUCCGGAAACGGGCGCUAAUACCGCAUACGUCCUGAGGGAGAAAGUGGGGGAUCUUCGGACCUCACGCUAUCAGAUGAGCCUAGGUCGGAUUAGCUAGUUGGUGGGGUAAAGGCCUACCAAGGCGACGAUCCGUAACUGGUCUGAGGGGAUGAUCAGUCACACUGGAAGUGAGAAACGGUCCAGACUCCUACGGGAGGAAGCAGUGGGGAAUAUUGGACGAUGGGGGAAAGCCUGAUCCAGCCAUGCCGCGUGUGUGAAGAAGGUCUUAGGAUUGUAGAGCAAUUUAAGUUGGGAGGAAGGGCAGUACGUUAAUACCUUGCUGUUUUGACGUUACCAACAGAAUAAGCACCGGCUAACUUCGUG